CUAGAGAUACCUGUACCAUGCAAAAAAUUAUGGAAGUAAUAAUAGAAUAUUCCCAAGCACGCUUAUAUUUAGGACUCUCUUCUUAGGGUCCUGUCCCAUUCUCCUGUAUGUAAUCCCACAAACCUUUAUCAGGAGGAACAAGUCAGACUAGACUUUAGUGCAAUUUCACAAUCACCAACAGAGGGCAGGGCUUCCUUCAGAUGUGGUUCCUCAUUGUAUUCAGGAGCUGGUUUUACUUGCCUGCUUUGUAGCCACAAGACAGAAUAUUCCUGCAGUACAGAAAGGGGCUCUCAAUUUCUGAGCGAGGAGCUUCUGUAACAUCCAGAUGAAGACUAGACUUCUUAGACUGGUGUAUUGCAGGGAACAAGGAUCGUUUUCUUUUGCGAACAUGCAUCCUGUCACUCACUCAGUUCUUCUGAUCAUCUUAGUAUUAGGAGGGACCAAUGGUGACUCAGUGAACCAGACAGAAGGCCCAGUGACUGUCUCAGAGGGGGCUCGCAUGACCCUGAACUGCACUUACCAGACCACAUAUUCGACUGUCUAUCUUUUCUGGCAUGUGUGCACUGUGUCUGGCGCUCAGUUGCUAAGAACUCCUGUGGACUGUAGCCUGCCAGGCUCCUCUGUCUGUGGAAUUUUCUAGGCAAGAAUACUGGAGCGGUUGCUAUUUUCUCCUUCAAGGGAUCUUCCUGACCCAGGGAUGGAACCCUCAUCUCCUCAAUUGGCAGGCAGAUUCUUUACUGCUGAGCUACUGGGGAAACCCAAUUUAUGGACACAACUACUUAAAUGCAGAGUUUAGUAGUUAUAGUAGUUUUAUGGUCUUGGCAGAUGUCGUCACCAUCCUCACUUAGGGAGAAUUCACACCCACCUGAAGGAGGGACCAAUGGUGACUCAGUGAGCCAGACAGAAGGCCCAGUGACUGUCUCAGAGGGGGCUCUCAUGACCCUGAACUGCACCUACCAGACUGCUGAUUUUCCCUAUCUUUACUGGUACGUCCAGCAUCUCAACAAAGCUCUUCAACUCCUUCUGAAGGGCUCGGCGAGAGACCCGAAGCCAAAGAGUGAAGGUUUUCAGGCCACUCUUGUUCAGAGUGACAGGUCCUUCCACCUGCAGAAACGGGCAGUGCAAGCAUCAGACUCGGCUGUGUACUACUGUGCUCUGAGUGACACAGUGACACAGGGCUGCGGGGGAGCUGAGCACAAACCCAGAGUGCAGAUGGGGCUCUGGCUGUGGCAGCCCUGCAAGGGGGUGGCUCUUUCUGUCUUUGGUGUUUUAUGCUAGCUGUGCUGUUGUUUAUGUGCUAAGUCAUGUCCGACUCUUUUGCAACCCUGUGACUGUAGUGGGCUCUUCUGUACAUGGGAUUUCCCAGGCAAGAAGACUGGAGUGGAUUGCCAUUUCUUUCCCUGGGAAUUAUCCCAACCCAGGAAUGGUACCCAUGUCUCCUGUUUAUCAGGCAGACUCUUUACCACUAGGCCACCUGAGAGCCCGUUUUAUGCCAGAGGCAUCGUCAAAGUACUUCCGGCUCUGAAGCUCAGUGCCAAGAACCCUGCAAUUCUUGGAUUGGUCUAUAGAGAGGAAUCUGGGAGGAACAGUGAAAAGAGGAAUCUAAACGGCCUUCUCCAGAAAUGCCUGUUUUUAGCCCAGUCACAUUUCUCCAGAUGGCAUAGAAUUCCUGGAAGUGACAUUAACUCUGUUCAGUGACAGAUCAGUUGAUAUAUGCUGAAAUAUGUCACAACCUGUUGAUGGAAACUCCAGGCACCUUGUUCAUGGAUGAAUGUAUGGCCUUGAAGCUGCUGUCUCAGUGUUAUAAUUCAGACCGGAAUUUUGUGUCUUGCUGAGUUUCACCUGCAGACAGUCCAUCUUUAGUGAUUGGGACCUUCACACUCUCUUCCCUUGACUUUCCCAGCUCUUAUGGUUGCUCAAGAAAUGCUGCUGCUGCGAGUCCCAUGAAGAUGGUUUCCUGAGAAGAUAUUCCUUCUGUCAAGGGCCCCGUGGGAAGGAGCAGUCUAGUCAGUGAACCUUUUGUGCAUGAGGUGUCUUGCUUAUAUGUUGGUGACACAGCUCCACCUGCAUCUUGUCAUCAUGGCAGCUGUUUACAGAAUGCUGGGUCAUGAUCCCGAUUCUGGUCUUGAGAAUCUGUGCUGUGAGAAAUUCUGGACAUGAGGAUGACCACGGAACCUGACAUAUUAUCUUUAUCGGUGUAUUGAAGCCUCUGAUCCUUUUGAAAUGAGUCAAAUUCAGUGACCAAGCAAACACUCAGUCCCUUAGUGAAAAGAGGGCACAUGGACUUUGGUUGACCGGGAUUCUAAAUUCUUGACAUAUUCACAAUGUUCCCACAGCAGAGGAGCAGAAAACAGAGAAAUGUGUGGCUCUCUCUGUAACUUGCAAUGAAUGAAACUCACCGAGAGAAAUUCGUCCUGGCAUUCUGGAGUCUCUGAACCUCACCCGUCCUUUAUCCUCUUGUAUGAUUCUGUGGGACUGACAGGUACAGAUGAAGGUUUUGCAGAGCCUGAGUCUUCUCUGAUUUUAGAGGCUCUUCUUAAGAAAAAGAAAUGAAAUUACAGAAUCUAGUUUUCUGGGCCCAGGACACUAAGGGAUCCUGAAAUACAAGCUGAAUUUGCUUUAUGGUAAACCCUCUUCAUAAAUUUAACCCUCCUCUUUAAGAUCAAAGCAUUAUAACCAUCUUAUUUUGUCCUGAUAUUGGCAGAUUAGAACCCCCCAGGACUCUUUCUGUCCCAGCACUUGAUCUGUAAUUAAUAUGAGUAUUUUCAGCUCUAUCACUUUUAAAUAACAGCUUUAUAAAGAUGAUUCACAUAUCAUCACCUUCACGCUUUUAACUGUACAAUCGAGUGGUUUGCAUGUUCACAGAGUUGUGCAGUCAUCAGUACUAUCUGAUUCCAGAACACCACCCCAGGAAGAAACUUGGUGCCCAUUAGCAGUCACUCCCGUUCCCCGUUUCCCCCAGACACGGGCAUCCACUCCUCUGUUCUCUGUCUCUGUGGAUUUGAGGGUUCUGGGCGUUUCCUAGAGAUAGGAUCAGCUCGCAUAUGACUGUUUGUACCUGUCUUCUUUCGCCUCGUGGAGUCUCUCCAUGGCGUGUCUCCAUAUCAGCUCUCCACUACGCCUUAUGGUCACUUAAUAGGCUGCUCUGUGAUACCACCUAUUCUCCUUAUCCAUUCUUCACUUGAAGAGUGAUUGUUUUGGAAACAUUUUGGUUAUUUCCACUUUUUAGCUCUUAUAAAUAAUGCUGGUAUGAGCACUCAUGUGCAGGAGCUCUAUUGCUCUAAGAGAAUGUACGUUCAGUUAGAGGUUCGACUUUUUGUGUUUUCAUAUUUGUUUCGUUUCAUUUUGCUUUAUUUGGUACCAACAUUUCCUUGGUAUGUACAAUGAGUAAGUACGAAAAUGCUCCUUAGAAUUAUGCUUUAAUGCUUACAUGAGAUAUAAUCAUUCCAAGCUAUACUUGCAUUCUUUCUGGAAAGCUUUUUGAGCACCUACUCAUAUGUGUCAGUCAUAUGAAUAAUUGUUGAGAAUAUAGUAGACAUGACCGAGUCUCCUGCUUCAGGAUUGUAUUGCUUUAAGACACCACACGUGUCUUAAAAUAAUGUUUCUUUCACAAAUCAUUUUAUUCACUCACUGAGCUCUGUUUGUCCCCACUAUGUGACAUUGGCAGGUUUAUGGGCAAUGGGCUAAGCAUUUUAAAUCCCUCUCCACCUCUUCAGGUGGAUACUAGGAAACUUCCAAUUUAAAAAUGUUAAAAUUGAGGUGUAGAGAUGUUUAGUAACUUAAUCAAGGUUACAUAACCAGUCAGGACAGAGCCUGGGUAGGAUGUCAAUUGUUCUGAUGCAUGACUUUUAUUCUUAAAAGCUAAUUGAUAGAACCACCAUGAAAUCUGUUUCUUUUUUGUUAAAUACCUCUGCCUUCUUAGAAUUUUAUAAUUUUUUAAAUUUUCAUUUGAUGAAAAAUAAGUUAAUGCAGUAAUCAAAACUGUACUUUACUCAAUGGGCAAUCACAGGAGUCUGUAUAUAUUCCUGAACACUGAAGCCAAAAAUUUGGAGUCAUCAUCAUUUAUGUCUUUGAACAUAAACUUGCACAGAUUCUCUGUGAUUGAAUAACCUGCCUAUUCCAGGGCUCAUAGCUGAGCCUCAGCAGCCAUAUUAAAGAGGAUAUAUAUUAAAGGUGUUUGCCAUGGCAAUGAGGACUAUAUUUUUCAAAUUAAAAAAACCCCUUCAUGUGGCAAAUAUGUCUCCUCAUUGGGACUGUAAGACACAGCAUUUUCUGUUCUGCUACAGUGUAUAUCUUAUUAAAGCAAAUUCUUUCUAGACAAUUAGUAAAUAUGGGCCUGGUCUUCCCCAGGGGCUCAGGGGUACAGAAUCCACCUGCCAAUGCAGAAGAUCAUUUUCAGGAUGAGUUUAACCCCUGGGUUGAGCAGAUCCCCUGGAGAAGGAUACAGCAACCCACCCCAGUAUUCUGGUCUUGAAAUCCCGUGGACAGAGGAAGCUGGUGGGUUACAGUUCAUGGGGUUGCAAAGAGUCGGGCACAACUUACUGACUAAACAGCAACAAAUACGGGCAUGAUGAGGAAGUUUCAUUGAUUUUUCUAAGCAUGUUAAUAAUUUGUGCCAAAACAGAAACUUUCAAAGGCAAUUUUCUCUCAAUAAAAAAGCCUAAAAUCUAGUGUUUGCUUUAGUG
rnacentral:lncRNA from 1 species